ACCUGGCAGGCUCAAUUAGAAGAGUACGGGACUCUUGAUCUCAGAGUCAUGAGUUCGAGCCCCAUGUUAGGUG
rnacentral:tRNA from 1 species